rnacentral:rRNA from 1 species
UACGGAGGGGGCGAGCGUUGUUCGGAGUGACUGGGCGUAAAGAGCACGUAGGCGGUGUUGUAAGUCAUUAGUCAAAGGCUAGAGCUCAACUUUAGUAAGGCUAGUGAUACUAUAAUACUAGAGUAUCAGAGAGGAUAGCAGAAUUCCUGGUGUAGCGGUGAAAUGCGUAGAUAUCAGGAGGAAUACCGUUAGCGAAGGCGGCUAUCUGGCUGGAAACUGACGCUGAGGUGCGAAAGCGUGGGUAGCAAACAGG